rnacentral:lncRNA from 1 species
GAGUAGUGGUCCAAAAGAGGCAACGUUGCUGGCUUUGAAGAUGGAGGAAGGGGGCUGUGAGUCAAGGAAUGUGAGCAGCCUCUAGAAGCUGGAAAAGGCAGAGACUCUCCCUGGAGUGUCUCAGAUGCAUGCGAUGUGCAUGACUGCUGGAUUUGGAUCAGUGAGCUGAAAGAUGCAGAACAUCACACUUGGCUGGAUGAGUCCCUGUGGAUUGUGGACGAGGAGAAACCGUGAGCGCUGUUCAUUCUAGAAGAUUCAACAGAUUCUUUCACUUGCUGGCUUUGAUGGAGUAAGCUGGCAUAUGGAGAGUCCCAUGUGGAAGCAAUUAAGGGUCACCACUUGCCAACAGUGAGCAAGGAACUGAGGCCCUCAUUCAGAAAAACUGCAAGGACCUGAAUCCUGCCAACAGCCAUGGGAACUUGGAAAUGCAUCCUUCCCC